AGCGGUUCCAGUUUCUUCAUCCAUUGCGUCCAGUGCUUGGGAGAGAUUAGUAUGUUCAGCUGAGAUCGAGUCUGGGUGGCUGCUGUAUCCGAGCUGGGCUUGAGCUUUGGCUUGGGCUGGUUUUUUUUGGCUGCAAAACUGUCUGAUGGCACAACUGCAACAUAAAGGUUAAAUAUGGCACAGGAAAAAAAAAAAAAAAAAAGAAACAGAGCGGGGAGAAGGAAGGAUUAGAGAAAAGAAACUAAUAUAAAUCAGUUGAGGUUCUUUUUAGUGAAGAGGUCUUUGAUCUCUGCUGGGUCUUACAGAUCUUUCUUUUAAAGAGAGAGAGAGAAAAGAAGAGAGGAGGGGGGAGAGAAGGGAAAAGCGGGGAGAGAUCUUUGGCAGGUGCAGAGUGAAAACCUCUUUCAGCUACACUGAAUUCUGGAGACUGGUUGGACUAGUAGCUCUGCAGCUCCAGCUUUCAGUGGGUGUGUUAAAUAUUAUGAGCGAGCCAUGAUUCCUGCCUUCCUCACGUCAUAGUUAGGAGAUUGGCUAAAUAAACGCUACAGUGAUAGUAACAGGAAAACCUCAACCAAAAGAGGGGUUUUUUUCCCUCCUCUCCUCCCUCCUUCCCACCCCCCCUUUUCAUUCUACUGCAGCUCCAACUGGGGCAAGGAGAGGGCGUCUGUUCCACAAAGGUUUGGGAAAAAAAAUAAAAUGAAACGAAAUAAAAUGUAAAGCGGUAGAGGAGAGAGGAUCCUGCGCUGCCAGCGCUGCGAGGCGGCAGCAGCAGCGCCGUGCGCCGGGCCGGGCCGGGAUGGGCGGCCCUGCUCCGCCGCCGCCGCGCUCAUCGCCCUCGCCCCCGGCCCCGCGGGGUCAGCCCGGGCUCCGCUGGCCGGGGAUCAGCCUCCGGGUCUGAUCCGGGAUCCCUCACCGGGAUCCAGCUGCCCUCCCUCCCCUUCCCCCCUCUCCGCUGCUGGCUCUGUGCCUGCUGGCCCAGCGGGCUAGUGGCAGCCCCGGGAGCACUGAGGCAGCCGUUUGACAGCCAGGGCACCCUGCAGGAACGAGCUGCCCCUGGCGCUUCAGGUGGUCAGGCAGGGAAUGCCCAGAACCGGCAGAACGAGGCAGGAACUCGGGGAAGGAGGCUGAUGUCACCUGGCUGUUUGUUUCUGCAAGCAGAGAGCGCAUCUUCAACUGGAUCCUGGAAGCACAGAGCUUUAUGAGGAAAGUACUGAAAGAUGAGGCAGUUUUGGAUUUACUGGAGCAAAGUCAAAAGUGUCAUUACCUGUGUCACACCAUGCUGCAGGAUGGAAACGUGUUUAGGAUUUUUGGAUGCUUGGAUUUCAGUGAAUUCUUUUCAGCUAGAGCAUCUUGUUUGUUAGAAGCUGAAAGAAGGAAGGAGGGUUGUGGGAAGGCUGUUCUACCAAGGACAAGGUAAAGAGCAUUGUGGCACUCUCCAUGGGUUAAUCCAUUAGUCUCUAUUCUUUGUGUUUCCAGAACAUGAAUGCUACAAUCCAUUUUAAUGAGGAUUGUGUUUCAAGAACUGUCCAUCUGACACGAAUUUUUGGCAUGGUGAGAGUCCACGUGUCUCUUGUGUCCAGCAAGAUCUCUUCCAUUUUAGCAAUUACUACAUUCAGAAUCUGUGGCCUGUCUUAAUAUGAAUUCAAAGCCGAGGGGUAGGUCCUGAUCAAAAUUAAAUUGCUUUUCUGAAUGAAUGACAAUUGUAACCAUACUAUUUAGUCCUGAAAUUGGCUGGUUCAUUCAGAGAAAUUAAGGCUUAAAAGAGGCAUCUGCAGAACCACUCCGGGAAACUGAACAACCUCCUUCUGAGGAAAAAAAAAUAGUUCAAGCAUUGGCAAGAUAAUUAAAUAAAUUUUUUAAAAAAUUCUUUAAUUGAAAUUGGAU
rnacentral:lncRNA from 1 species